rnacentral:rRNA from 1 species
GACGAACGCUGGCGGCGUGCCUAAUACAUGCAAGUAGAACGCUGAAGGAGGAGCUUGCUUCUCUGGAUGAGUUGCGAACGGGUGAGUAACGCGUAGGUAACCUGCCUGGUAGCGGGGGAUAACUAUUGGAAACGAUAGCUAAUACCGCAUAAUAGUAGAUGUUGCAUGACAUUUGCUUAAAAGGUGCAAUUGCAUCACUACCAGAUGGACCUGCGUUGUAUUAGCUAGUUGGUGGGGUAACGGCUCACCAAGGCGACGAUACAUAGCCGACCUGGGAGGGUGAUCGGCCACACUGGGACUGGGACACGGCCCAGACUCCUACGGGAGGCAGCAGUAGGGAAUCUUCGGCAAUGGACGGAAGUCUGACCGAGCAACGCCGCGUGAGUGAAGAAGGUUUUCGGAUCGUAAAGCUCUGUUGUAAGAGAAGAACGAGUGUGAGAGUGGAAAGUUCACACUGUGACGGUAUCUUACCAGAAAGGGACGGCUAACUACGUG